rnacentral:lncRNA from 1 species
UAGGGACACCGAGGGACAUAAGUUCAAUUUAGGGACACCGAGGGACAUAAGCUCAAUUUAGGGACAUCGAAGGACAUAAGCUCAUUUUAGGGACGUUGAGGGACAUAAGCUCAAUUUAGGGACGUCGAGGGACAUAAGCUAAAUUUAGGGACUCCGAGGGACAUAAGCUCAAUUUAGGGACAUCGAGGGUCAUAUGCUCAAUUUGGACCUCGAGCGACAUAACUUCAAUUUAGG